rnacentral:hammerhead_ribozyme from 1 species
CCACUGCUGAGGAGUCCCACGAUAGGACGAAACGGCCGUCCAGUAU